rnacentral:rRNA from 1 species
AUACGUAGGUGGCAAGCGUUGUCCGGAAUUAUUGGGCGUAAAGCGCGCGCAGGCGGUCCUUUAAGUCUGAUGUGAAAGCCCACGGCUCAACCGUGGAGGGUCAUUGGAAACUGGGGGACUUGAGUGCAGAAGAGGAAAGUGGAAUUCCAAGUGUAGCGGUGAAAUGCGCAGAGAUUUGGAGGAACACCAGUGGCGAAGGCGACUUUCUGGUCUGUAACCGACGCUGAGGCGCGAAAGCGUGGGGAGCAAACAGGAUUAGAUACCCUGGUAGUCCACGCCGUAAACGAUGAGUGCUAAGUGUUAGGGGGUUUCCGCCCCUUAGUGCUGCAGCUAACGCAUUAAGCACUCCGCCUGGGGAGUACGGUCGCAAGACUGAAACUCAAAUGAAUUGACGGGG